GACUACAGGGGUAUCUAAUCCUGUUUGCUCCCCACGCUUUCGCUCCUCAGCGUCAGUAAUGGCCCAGAGACCCGCCUUCGCCACCGGUGUUCUUCCUGAUAUCUGCGCAUUCCACCGCUACACCAGGAGUUCCAGUCUCCCCUGCCAUCCUCUAGUCUGCCCGUAUCGAAUGCAAGCUCAGGGUUGAGCCCCAAGUUUUCACAUCCGACGCGACAGACCGCCUACGAGCUCUUUACGCCCAAUAAAUCCGGACAACGCUUGCACCCUACGUAUUACCGCGGCUGCUGGCACGUAGUUAGCCGGUGCUUCUUCUGCAGGUACCGUCACUUUCGCUUCGUCCCUGCUGAAAGAGGUUUACAACCCGAAGGCCGUCAUCCCUCACGCGGCGUCGCUGCGUCAGGCUUUCGCCCAUUGCGCAAUAUUCCCCACUGCAGCCCCCCGUAGG
rnacentral:rRNA from 1 species